UACGGGGGGGGCAAGCGUUGUUCGGAAUUACUGGGCGUAAAGGGUUCGUAGGUGGCUUGUUAAGUCAGACGUGAAAUCCCUCGGCUCAACCGGGGAACUGCGUCUGAGACUGAUGAGCUCGAGUGCAGGAGAGGAGCGCGGAAUUCCAGGUGUAGCGGUGAAAUGCGUAGAUAUCUGGAGGAACACCGGUGGCGAAGGCGGCGUUCUGGACUGCAACUGACACCGAGGAACGAAAGCCAGGGGAGCAAACGGG
rnacentral:rRNA from 1 species